rnacentral:sRNA from 1 species
AGAAAUCAAAAUUUCGAGUGCGCAGUCAAACGGCCAAAUGCAGCUUUUGCAAUUCCGCACAAGGAAUGCAAAGCACCAUGUAUUGCGAAUUGAAAAAGAAAUCAAAUUGAAUACUAAGGUGGCCACAAAUAAAAAAGUCGUCUGCGAUGCCGUGCUGACAUACACCCAACCAGCAGCAAUGGCAAUAGAACAACCAUGCCAGUGAGUGCUGAUAGCAAUGCACCCACAAUAAGUAAUAAGGGGCCGUCUCGAACUUUAGAGAUAUGCUUCCAACAGAUAUGCUUUCUUGGCACCACCCCAUAAGGCCGAAGACAUAGGACUAUCGAAUCAGUGGCUGAGCAGCCCAUUUCAUCUCUAGAAGGAAACCGAAAAAUGCAAAGAACAAUGCCCCCACAUCGUGCUGAUUAGAAUAGACGACGUCCAACUUGGGUAGGACUAUGUGGCUCCUAGCCAAUAAUGUGCCCACCUACAGGGACAUCGUACAGAAACUGGAAGAAUAAAAAAUUAAGUUAUACUUAUAUCAGCUGCAGGAGGAUAAGCCCUAUCGCAUAGUAACCACGGA